CUACAAACCCGAACCAUCGCUUUUUUGCGGGUGACUGCAAAAAGGAGGAAAGUCUGGACAGCAUAGGGCAAUCUACCGGUGAACAGCCGGGGCUUCCGUGCAAGCGGGAGCACAGCAAGUGCCACAGAAAAUAACCGCCCGGCAACGGGUAAGGGUGAAAAUGUGAGGUAAGGGCUCACGUUCCGGCAGGGUAACCUGUUGGAAGGGUAAACCUUGGAUGCUGUAAUGCCAUGUAUAGGAUUGACUGAGGGCGGCCCGUUCGAGUUUCCUGGUAACAGGAAUGCAAUCCAGGGUAGGCAGCAAGACCUUUUUAGUAAUAAAAGGGCUAGAUAAAUGAUGGUUUAGAAACAAAAUCCGGCUUACGAGGCUGUAGCAAA
rnacentral:RNase_P_RNA from 1 species